UACGUAGGGCGCAAGCGUUGUCCGGAAUUAUUGGGCGUAAAGGGUGCGUAGGCGGUCGGGGUAAGUCUGAUGUGAAAUCUCACAGCUUAACUGUGAAACUGCAUUGGAUACUAUCCGGCUCGAGGAAUGGAGGGGAGACUGGAAUACUUGGUGUAGCAGUGAAAUGCGUAGAUAUCAAGUGGAACACCAGUGGCGAAGGCGAGUCUCUGGACAUUUCCUGACGCUGAGGCACGAAAGCCAGGGGAGCAAAACGGG
rnacentral:rRNA from 1 species